CAGAAGGGGGGGAGGAGGAGGAGAAGGAGGCGCUGCUGUUGAGCGAGGGCACGAGCUCCCCGGGAACCCAGAUGGAACGGGGGAGAUCCGAGAGUUCUACGGCCUCCCCGGUCCCCGCUCGCCUCCCGAUCGGUUUAGGUUGAAUUAGAUAUCCGUUAGCAUCCCUUCAAAUGCUGAAACGAAUUCUGUGAACUGGGAAAGAGAAUAUAAAACAGUAGAGAGUAUCAACUGUUCCUUGAUAAAGAUUCCAACCCCAGUAUACAUAACAUUUGCGUUUUUCCAUUUUAAAAUGAACAAGGACAAGCCAAAGGGUGUGGCUCAGCUUUAUGACUAACCCUGCCACAAUCAAUCAUCCUCCAUGGUAUCAGUGGGGAUGUUUAUGUGCCUCAUAUGGGGAGGCUCUUCAAUCCCAGAACUAAUCACAUCAGUAAGCAGCCAAGAGUAUCUAGGGCAACAAUACCUAGACACACACACCCAUACCUGCAGAUAAGAAAACUGAAACCUUAGAAAAGAUAUUCCUCAGAGAUUGUACCUGUCCAAAGGAAGAGCUAGGAACUCUUCUCCAGAAGCCUUUUCCCAAUACAUUACACCCUCCUUCAAAGGACCAAACUCGGGACCUUCAGCUUGCAAGACUGGCAUGCCAAAGAGUCUCUUGGUUUAGGAUUGGGUUUAGCUCCCACCUGAAGUGGAUUGUCAAUUGUUUGCCUGAGACCAGUGAAGUAGGACCUUCCCUCAGGGAGAAAACUCUCUGGUGAUGAGGUCAAACCUGGGGCUUCUACCUCCCAACUAAAUAAACUGGGGAUCUCUAAAUUACAUGUUGACAAGGUUGAGCCAUAAAUGAGUUGGGUGAUAGGAGGACACCGAAGGCGGAUAAGCAGUCCUGAAGAGGUCUUGGCAAGCCCUUACACCAGAGGUGUUAGUCCUCUCUGAACACCUCAUAUGUCGUGGAUUUCAGAUUUAGCUACUCUCAACAAGAUGAACAAAAUGAAGGAUAUCAUCAGAAAAUUCUUGGAAUCAAAAAGUAAAACAUGCUCACUCUUGUGUGAAAGUAUAGUUUAUUUUACCUGGAUUGUUUCAAGCAUUUCAGUUGCUAUGACUUAAGAUGGAGUCAAAUAAAGGAAACUAAAUGGCUUAUUGAAUUUUUGGAAAGAAUAAACUAAAAAAUUUAGGACUCUUCAAUGAAAA